CUCCUCAAUCAUAGUACAUUCGACAUGCAAAGAAAUAUAGCCUGGUGAGUGCUAAAGAAUACUUCAAUCUUCUAUUUUUCACCAGCUCAGCACAAGGCAGAACCCAGUCAUCAAAUCUUAUGAUGAAGAAUGGAUUAGAUUUUCCUGAUUGCAGAGAUCACGCCUUAAGUGAAACUUUUAAAAUGACUUCCUAUCAUUCUUUGCAGUAAUUUUUUUAUUUCCUUCCUUCCUUCCUUCUUUCAACCUUCCCUCCCUUCCUCCCUUUUUUCCUCCAUUCCUCCCUCCCUCAGUCCCUCUCUUCCUUCCUUCCCUGUGCAUUCAGUGCUACUAAAUGCCACACCCUGUUCGAGGUGAAGCAGCAGCAAAGCCAGUCUUGUCUUUCUCCGUGGAGCUUGCCUUCUGCUGUAGCUAUUGUUUUGGACCAACUUAUGAGGAGCCAACAGGUCGACCCUCCUUUCCCCCUCCCUUCAUCACACCGACGAAUGACUUGGACGGCAUGGAGUCAUGCAUGCUUGCUGCACGAGCCUUUUAGAAGUAAUGCGUCUUUAGGGCUGCAGCUUAAUGCGGAAAGUCAUCUGCAUUCAUGGAUACCUUUUCCGUGCAAGUUAUUUAAAGAGCAAAGCCUGGAGUGGACUGCUAGACAUCUUGAGCAUGUAAUAGAUGAACUGAGAGCUCUCCCGUGUAGCUUUUCUUUUCUGGAGACGACAGCAUGACGGCUAAGAGACAAGCGAUGGAGUCCAACAGCUCAGACUUGUGUCCUGUGCCUGCCACUAAUCAACUAUGUUGGACUGAGAAAGCAACGCGCCUCCCUCUGUUUCUUUACCUGUGAAAUAUGCAUAGUCAUAUCCCCCUCCAGUGGUUGACAAAACAUUAAAGGAGAUAAUUCACAGACAAGCCAUGGCAUGUUACCUGUCCCAGACUGAUCACUAUGGAAAUAUUCGCUGUUUUCUCUAAUAUUACUGUUUCUAUGGGAUUUAUGAUAAACUGGUCAGGAUGUAGGGUGAUAUUUUCAUUCAGAAGGGUCACUGCAAGGGAGGGAAGGGGAUUCUUACCACAGGCAAAAUGCAGUGGCCAACAUGGUUACACGUGCUACAAAAUCAAACCGAAAUAACACCCAUCAACAAGCAACAAGGGGAAAUUACAAUUUGGGCCCAACAAGAGAAGGGAUUGCUGUG
rnacentral:lncRNA from 1 species